GAUGAACGCUGGCGGCGUGCCUAAUACAUGCAGGUCGAGCGAACGGACGAGAAGCUUGCUUCUCUGAUGUUAGCGGCGGACGGGUGAGUAACACGUGGAUAACCUACCUAUAAGACUGGGAUAACUUCGGGAAACCGGAGCUAAUACCGGAUAAUAUUUUGAACCGCAUGGUUCAAAAGUGAAAGACGGUCUUGCUGUCACUUAUAGAUGGAUCCGCGCUGCAUUAGCUAGUUGGUAAGGUAACGGCUUACCAAGGCAACGAUGCAUAGCCGACCUGAGAGGGUGAUCGGCCACACUGGAACUGAGACACGGUCCAGACUCCUACGGGAGGCAGCAGUAGGGAAUCUUCCGCAAUGGGCGAAAGCCUGACGGAGCAACGCCGCGUGAGUGAUGAAGGUCUUCGGAUCGUAAAACUCUGUUAUUAGGGAAGAACAUAUGUGUAAGUAACUGUGCACAUCUUGACGGUACCUAAGCAGAAAGCCACGGCUAACUACGU
rnacentral:rRNA from 1 species